CGCCUGUUUAUCAAAAACAUAACCUCUUUCAAAAACAAAAAAUAAGAGGUCCUGCCUGCCCCGUGAUUAUAAAUAUAAAGCCCGCGGUAUUUUGUCCGUGCGAAGGUAGCGCAAUCACUUGUCUCUUAAAUAGAGACCCGUAUGAAAAGCAAGACGAGGGUUUAUCUGUCUCCCUUUUUGAGUCAAGGAAAAUGAUCUCCCCGUGCAGAAACGGGGAUAAACACAUUAGACGAGAAGACCCUAUGGAGCUUUAGACACUAAAGCAGCCCACGUUAAGCACCCUUGAUUAAAAGGCCAAACCAAUCCCCUUUUAGAGUCCAUAUCGACAAGGGGGUUUACGACCUCGAUGUUGGAUCAGGACAUCCUAAUGGUGCAGCCGCUAUUAAGGGUUCGUUUGUUCAACGAUUAAAGUCCUACGUGAUCUGAGUUCAGGCCGG
rnacentral:rRNA from 1 species